AGAGUGCACAAGGACUCUCACGGUUACAAAGGAUACGAAGCAGCCAAUUUAUGCCUACUACCAACUUGACAACUUUUAUCAGAAUCAUAGGAGUUCAUGCCCCGGUCAAAUCUAGAGCUAUGCAUGCCUAUGUCAUCUCUCACAGAUCACUGUUCUUUUCAUUCCUCCAAUUGAAACCAUGGCUGCCAGUAUUGAGGUCACUUGCUAUUCCUGCUUUUACUAAUGUAAAUUUUACUUAUUUGUUUUGGUG